CAUAAAAAAGUGGAAGUUGGGAUGCUAUAAAAGACAAAAACCAAGUCAAAGCCAAAUAUUUUUGAAUAUACACCCAUCAGUUCAGAUUACAAUGAAAUACCUACUCAUCACUUUGGUAGUAUUGAUGGUUCUGGUGGAGCUAAGUUUUUGUUCAGGCGGCAUCGGUAGAGGAGGAGGAGGUGUUUUCAAUAACAGAAGAGGAGGUGGUCGUGGAUUUGGAGGCGGUAGAGGAUUUGGAGGCAAUAGACGAUUUGGAGGCGGUCGAAGAUUUGGUGGCGGUGGAAAUUUUGGAGGCGGUAGAAGAUUCGGAGGUGGACGAGGCGGAAGUCGUCAUAAUAGAGGAUAGACAGCAAAUUUUGACACAACCGUCUUUGUUAUUAAUCAUGGAAACAUCCCUACCGACACAGUUUUAAAAUGAAAGCCAUCCAUUUAAUAUAGACAGCAUUGGAUUUAGAGACAGUGGAAUAACUUUUAAAAACGUGUUUCUGUAUAUUUCUGUAUUUCUAUAUUAUGUAUUU